CGGGACGGGGCGCGGGGCGGGGCGGGGAGACCCGGGCCGGGAGCGCGCGCCCUGGGGGGCGAGGCGUGGGAAACCGGCAGGAAUAUGGAUUUUAGUGUCAUCACGUCUUGCAACCUGCUAAGCUCACUGAAGUUUUUUAUAAGUCCUCGAAAAGACAGUGGCACCUGGUUUUCCUUCCCCAUGUGGAACCCUCUACAGCUUCCAGCAAGUUCCAUCACCCAGAGGACGCCAUGCAAGGAAGUGGCAAUGCCGGGACUUGAAGACCUGCUCCAGUGACAGGCCCUACUCUCACCUGCCCUGCCCUGAAAAACAGCCUCAGUGGCCUAGGGAAGUCCCCAGGUCAGGGGUCACAUCUAAGCUGCAACUGCAGCCUACGCCACAGCAACCCUGGAUCCAAACCACUUCUGUGACCUACACCGCAGCUUAUGGCAAUGCAGGAUCCUUAACCCGCUGACUGAGGCCAGGGAUGGAACCGGUGACGUCACAGAGACAACACUAGGUCCUUGACCAGCUGAGCCACAGCGGGAACCCCCAGUCUGGUUUUUGAAGCAGAGGUCAUCAAACUUUUUUGCUCCUGUAUCCCCGAAUAAAUUUUGAAAAACUCGCC